rnacentral:lncRNA from 1 species
GUGAACAAGUAGUAUUAUGUGAUAUAUCUUAAAAUCCGAUUUGCAAUAAAAUUCCAGCAAAACUUUGUUCCCGUGAUAACUAUUCUUUUCAUUUAUAUAUUGACAGUGGACUAUUUGUAAAAAUCCCAAACUUUUGGCAUUUGUGUAGUCUAAAAGACUAGAUUUCAAAACUACACCUUCAAACAAGCAUUCGUGCAAAUUUGUAGAAGCAUAGCUGUAUUUUUUGAUUAAUUCAAAAAAUUUGGGGUUUUUAUUCAAAGUGCGUCUUGUUUGACGGUCUCAGACACUAUAAGAGCUAUAGUCACCAAAUUUGACUGUGACUCAUGUGAUGUCACAGUGAAUCAAGUUUGUUUCAAAGUUUCGACACGCCCCCUUCCGAUCCCACAAAGAGCAAUUUUGAAGGAAAGAGAAGAUAACUGAAUAGGUAUUGUUUUUAGGAGGGCGCUUCCUUUCGCUGAAGAAUUGUUGGUAUAAUUAUGUAUGUAAUUGUAUGUGUAUGAUGAAGCAAGAAUUUGCACAAUGUAUGAAUGUAGAUUCGAAUGUAAUGUGUACCGGAAUGUACGCGGGUGGGUAGCGAACUAAUCUAAGCUUAGCGGCUGGCUGCCCGCCAGCUCUCGAGCGCUAGGAAAGAAGGAGAGCGCGAGAGCGUAAGGAGUGAGAGCGAGCUCCGGCUGUUAAUAACAGCCCGCUGCUAACUCGCUGCUGCUACUUUCAACAAGUUCAACAACUUUUUGACAGCUCGGAGCCUAUCUUCGGUCCUUAGGCGGAGAAAUCGGCGACACUUCCGUAGAGGAUGGAAUUCAGAGCAGACUCGGCAUUGGUGGGACUCAGUACCUCGGGAACGUCUGCUCUGAGUGGUGCGGUCGACUUGCGACCGAGACGCCAUGUAUGCAUGCGGAAGGCUAGGACGAGUUGAGGAAGUCGAAGAAGCAUUAGUAAUUUGCUUAACGGAACGGAGUAUGGGCACAUUUUAUAAUUCCAUCUAUGGUGGUAAGCUCUUGAACUUUGAACAGUGUUGAUCCUAUAAUCUUUGAUUUUAUUACUUCGAUUGCUAAAAAUUCAUCAGGACCUUUGUUAGGUUAAGUAAUUUAAUCGAUGUUAUGAAUCGUUGCAAAUGAAGUUGCUGUCCAUUGAAUUCGGGUAUGGUGUGAGAUAUAUCUUUGAUAUAUGCCCGUUGGGCAACUGGGUCGUCUUCCAUUCUAAUGUGUCUUGUUUCUAUCACACUAUUCAAUGAUUCUGAAUAAGAAAAAUCUUGCUCUUGAUAUUGUGGUACUGUUAACACAGCUAGGAUCGUUAGAUCGUGUAGAUCUUUUUCUUCCACAUUUGUCUCUUGAUAAAUUGAUUCAACCUCUUGGUCAAAUUCUUGAAUUUGGCUUGUUCCAGGCUGUUCUAUGUCUACGGUCAAUGGAGUAUUCAAAACUGUUGGAAUUUAAAUAUCCAAAUUGAAUUUCCUUUGAAUUAAUAUCAAAUUUGAUCGAAGUAUGAUCAAAAAUGUAGUAGUAGUGAAGUAGGAUACCUGCGACCAAUUUUGUUGUCGACUCGGCUAUUGAUGCUGAUCAAGAAUAUAUAUACUUUAUCAGGUCGGAAACGCUUCCUUCUGUGAGUUACAUACAACCGUUAUUAUCACAAAUACAAUAUACCCUAUUUACUCUUUGAGUGAAAAGAAAAUAGUGAAAAGAGUGACCUUCAAAGUUGCGUACAAGAAACUUUCAUAGAUGGCGCCAAUUUCGAAAAAUCUGAUGUGAAACCUAUCGGUCAUUAUUGCACAGAAUGUGCAGACCAUUGGACCAUCAAAGCUGCGUACAAGAAAUUUUUAUAGAUGGCGCCACUUUCGAAAAAUCUGAUGUGAAACCUAGCGGUCAUUAUUGCACAGAAU